rnacentral:rRNA from 1 species
GGAUUCCCCUAGUAACGGCGAGUGAAGAGGGAAGAGCCCAGCACCGAAGCCUGCGGCAGUUUUGCUGUUAGGCAAUGUGGUGUUUGGGUCGGCUACUGGGAUUGCCACUCCACUCGAAGUCCAGCAUUGAGUAUGGUCCCCUGGAUUUGGCCCAGAGAGGGUGAAAGGCCCGUACGGGUGGAGGUUUCAGACAUGUGAGGCAGUUCUCCUGGCCGGCCUUAGAGUCGGGUUGUUUGGGAAUGCAGCCCAAAGUGGGUGGUAAACUCCAUCCAAGGCUAAAUACUAGCACGAGUCCGAUAGCAAACAAGUACCGUGAGGGAAAGUUGAAAAGUACUUUGAAGAGAGAGUAAACAGUACGUGAAACCGCAUGCAAGUAAACGGUUGGCGUCAAGCUGUACGCCCAGAGGAUUCAGUCGGCUAGGGUGUAGUGUAUGCGCCUGCGCAUCGAUUGGCCAGAGUAAGAAUGAAUAGUCCACUGGAAGACAGUGGGCCUUGCCGCAAGGUGAGGAUGUGUGUAUCGGGUGGAAGCCGAAGCACGCUGUUCAUCUAUUGGGCCGCCUAGCCGGUGCACUUUCUCUGUGGUGGACACCACGACCGAUGGUACUGCCAGUCUGCUAUGAUCAAGUCGUGUUUGGUAGGUCCUUGUGGCUUACUGGAUGCGAUCACGGGCAAAUUCGGUAUACGGCGUAGAGAUGCUCUCGGGUGUUUCCACGUGUUAUCGGGUACUGGUUGUCUUAACGGGCCUGCCUUGUGUGUGUAAUUGUGUAUAUAGCCAUGGCAGGGUGGUCUGGUGGAUCAUAGUGGUAUGAAUAACUGUGCAGGGCAUCGGAGUUUUCGGCCUCAAUUGCCCAUAUGCUAUAUGUAUGGAUUCAUGUGAGUGUGGUGGCAGCCUGCCUGUUGUUGGGUCUGAUCGUCGUGUUGCCUGCGCAAAGUGGGCCCGGCGGUGGUCUGAUGCAGGAUGGAGUUGUCUAUUGCAUUUGCAUUGCAAUUUCUAGUGGGCCUGACAGUCAGUGGUGUAGUGGUAGACGAGCUACCCGACCCGUCUUGAAACACGGACCAAGGAGUUUAACAUGUAUGCAAGUCAUGGGGUCUUACGAAACCCAAAGGCGCAGUGAAAGUGAAGCUUCGGUUCUUCCGGAGUGAGGUGAGAUCCUGUCGUUACUCGCAUCAACUUGCCAGUAGCAGGUUCAAGAGCGGCGGGCGCAUCACCGGCCCGUCCCAUGAUGUGGUCAUUGGAAUAGGCUGCAGCCGGUCUCCGGUUGUAGUACUGCCAGUGCGUCAUCGGGGCGGAGCAUGAGCAUACACGUUGAGACCCGAAAGAUGGUGAACUAUGCUUGCGUAGGUUGAAGCCAGAGGAAACUCUGGUGGAGGACCGCAGCGAUUCUGACGUGCAAAUCGAUCGUCAAACGUGAGUAUAGGGGCGAAAGACUAAU